GCUUGCUUUGCUGUGCCAUAUGUAGGGUAAACCAGUCUUGACACCAAGUCCCAAAUGGUCGCAUAUCACCUUAAUGCACCAACCAGCCCACAUAUCGUCGUAUCGACCAAUUGGCUGACCAUCACCCAUGAGGCCAAAGUACAUUGCAGGUCCAAUCAGCUCACGGUCAAAUGCCAAAUUCAUUCCACACAUGGGGAACAAAGUGCCUUUAGGAAUUGUCAUGACAGCAUCCACAUAUCUCGUGUUCCUCUCACGUGGCUUAACAAGUUGAGUAGGUGCAUCGUAAUCGGGAAUGUUGAGCCAAAGCCCAUGAGAAACAGCUGUGGCAGCACCCUCACGCAUACUGAAAGGGUAUCCACGAACGAAAUCUGCCCCUUCUCUGUAUGGAUCAUACAGAGUGUUAAAGAAAUGUGGAGUGGAAGGACAUAACAGGUUCUUUAUGUGCUGCUCAAGAGCAUUGAUGUCUUUGCCAGAAGGAUCUUUCGCCACAAAGCAAUCAUCAUCAAUA
rnacentral:misc_RNA from 1 species